rnacentral:rRNA from 1 species
GAUGAACGCUAGCUACAGGCUUAACACAUGCAAGUCGCGGGGCAGCAUUUCCUUAGCUUGCUAAGGAAGAUGGCGACCGGCGCACGGGUGAGUAACGCGUAUCCAACCUUCCCAUGUCCACGGGAUAGCCCGUCGAAAGGCGGAUUAAUACCGUAUGAGGUCACAUGCGGGCAUCUAAGUGUGACGAAAGGUUUAGCGGACAUGGAUGGGGAUGCGUCCGAUUAGCUUGUUGGCGGGGUAACGGCCCACCAAGGCGACGAUCAGUAGGGGUUCUGAGAGGAAGGUCCCCCACAUUGGAACUGAGACACGGUCCAAACUCCUACGGGAGGCAGCAGUGAGGAAUAUUGGUCAAUGGGCGAAAGCCUGACCCAGCAACGCCGCGUGAAGGAAGAA